rfam:Stegodyphus mimosarum contig147999, whole genome shotgun sequence.
AGCGUGGCCGAGUGGUUUUAAGGCGCUGGCUUUAGGCACCAGUCUUUUCGGAGACGUGGGUUGGAAUCCCACCGCUGAAA